rnacentral:rRNA from 1 species
CCUGACCGAGCACGCCGCGUGAGCGAGGAAGGCCUUCGGGUCGUAAAGCUCUGUUGUCAGGGAAGAACAAGUACGGUAGUAACUGCCCGUACCUUGACGGUACCUGACCAGAAAGCCACGGCUAACUACGUGCCAGCAGCCGCGGUAAUACGUAGGUGGCAAGCGUUAUCCGGAAUUAUUGGGCGUAAAGCGCGCGCAGGCGGUCUCUUAAGUCUGAUGUGAAAGCCCACGGCUCAACCGUGGAGGGUCAUUGGAAACUGGGAGACUUGAGUGCAGGAGAGAAAAGUGGAAUUCCACGUGUAGCGGUGAAAUGCGUAGAGAUGUGGAGGAACACCAGUGGCGAAGGCGGCUUUUUGGCCUGUAACUGACGCUGAGGCGCGAAAGCGUGGGGAGCAAACAGGAUUAGAUACCCUGGUAGUCCACGCCGUAAACGAUGAGUGCUAGGUGUUGGGGGGUUCCACCCUCAGUGCUGACGCUAACGCAUUAAGCACUCCGCCUGGGGAGUACGGCCGCAAGGCUGAAACUCAAGAAA